rnacentral:lncRNA from 1 species
GUAAUAUUGUUUACAUGAUUUAAUUUUAAGAAGUGGUUUGGGUGCUUAUAAUUCACAACAAAGUGGCAUAAUUACAACAUGAGUACAUGUAGCUAAUAGAAAACACCCUAAAUUUUCUUGACCUCACUACUAUUCCUUUACAGUAAGCCAUUUAUUCUCUAAAUUCACAAAGUCUUGGAAAAACCACUGAAAAUCGAUUGCAUUCAAUCUCUUCUUUGUUAGUGAGCACCAUUCCCACUUCAGUCAUUUCUGCCAUUUCAAAUAGUUCAAAGAUUACAAAAGUUCAGAAUGACACAUAACUAAUACAUUGAACAGGUCAGUAAUGUUGUAGUAUGUGAGUGAGUCAUACUUACUGCCCUUUUCCCAAAACUGUACCUGAGAAUCACUCAUGAUAUUUUAACAUAAAUGGGAAUCUAUUUCCUCAAGAUUAAUGGUGACUUUAUCAUAUUAUUUCAAUUAAUUUUGUUAGUGUGCUUAUUUAAGUAUUCUGAUGUAUUGCUUUCCUUCGGACAAUAAUCAUGUCUGAUUAUUGCUUCUAUUUUUACAGUUUCUAUUGCCUCUGGCCAUUCAUGCCAUUGCUGCUGAAUUUGCUGUUCCAGUACUAAGAAGAGGAACUGAACUGAUAAUUUGUACAAUUGAUUGAUUAUGAAACUGAUGAAGCUUCUCAGUUUAAGGAGGUCCUGUGGGGAGCCACAGCCCCAAGAUGGCACCUGGCUGGCUGCCAGGGAGACCAAGCCUUAUUUGGAAAUGCUUAGUGGAUCUGGUGUGCCUCCUCCAGCUGUGACCUAUCCGGGAUCGCCAGGUGGUGUGAAAUAAUUGGGUAAUGAGCUUGCUUUGAAGGGCCUGCCGGGGGAGGGGGGUGGCUGGGAGAGGGAGAAACUGAUGUACAAGAUUCCUGAAUAAACUUUUUGAAGAAGAGUCGUGGUCGUGUUUC